GACACAUGCUACAACAUGGAUGAACCAUAAAAAUACUUUGCUAAGUGAAAGAGCCAGACAAGUCAUGUUGUGCGAUCUCAUUUAUAGGAAAGGUUCAGGAUAGGAAAAUCUGUAGAAAUUACUGUCUGCCUCUAAUUAGGAGACAGGGAGGGUGGAUAGAGAGAAUGGAAGUGCUGAUGGGUAUGAAGUUUCUUUUAGGAUGAUGAUAAUGUUCUAAAAUUAGAUCAUAGUGACAGUUAUAUGACUCUGUAAAUAUAUUAACAACUGUUGAACUGUACACUUUAAAUGGAUGGAUUUUAUGGCAUAUUUACUCUCUGCCCUCUACCUCCCCUCACGUGGGUCACUGUUCCUUUUCCUGGAGGCAGACUGGAAAAGGCCAGAAUGUCUGCAGUGCCUUUUUCUAGGGUUCUCUGAGGUUUAAUUAAGAUGAUACAUUGAAAAGUUCCUUAUAAAAUUAAGGUUUGGGAAGAUGGCCAUAAUUAAUAAGCUCAGAAUAAAACAGAUACUCUGAUUUUUUUUUUUUUUAAUGAACUGUGGAUAAUGAACCCAGAAAGAAUGAUUGUUUGUGUCCCUAUAAUUAUGGCAGUCACACCUGCUGAAUUUCCAGAUUUUCAAAUAUUCUGGUCUGUGUGACACGCAACUUGGACUUCAUGAAAGCUCUUCCUUAAGUUGGAUUUUGAUAAAUGGUUAUGGAAGAAAGCAGACAGAGUGGGGACAGAGAGACAUAGCUGUAACAGUAGAAAACAGGGUUUUAUGCAACCUGGAGAAGUAAUUGGAGUUGAAGAAGAGGGCAGAAUAACAGCAGCAAUCCAAGAAGUAAUGUGCAUAAUGGAAGGCAAAACUUAAAUUCAAAAAAUGACUACAGCAUGAGUACCGAUUGCCAGCCAAGUGUGGGGCCACUUUUAUUGUAAGGCACGGCACACUUGCCUAUCUACUGGUGUCCCCUUCUCCCAGCAUCUAUUGAUCUAUUUAUGUUCUUAAGUAAAUUGUUUU